CUGCAAGUCGAACGGUAACAGGAAGCACUUGCUGCUUCGCUGACGAGUGGCGGACGGGUGAGUAAUGUCUGGGAAACUGCCUGAUGGAGGGGGAUAACUACUGGAAACGGUAGCUAAUACCGCAUAACGUCGCAAGACCAAAGAGGGGGACCUUCGGGCCUCUUGCCAUCGGAUGUGCCCAGAUGGGAUUAGCUAGUAGGUGGGGUAACGGCUCACCUAGGCGACGAUCCCUAGCUGGUCUGAGAGGAUGACCAGCCACACUGGAACUGAGACACGGUCCAGACUCCUACGGGAGGCAGCAGUGGGGAAUAUUGCACAAUGGGCGCAAGCCUGAUGCAGCCAUGCCGCGUGUAUGAAGAAGGCCUUCGGGUUGUAAAGUACUUUCAGCGGGGAGGAAGGCGAUAAGGUUAAUAACCUUGUCGAUUGACGUUACCCGCAGAAGAAGCACCGGCUAACUCCGUGCCAGCAGCCGCGGUAAUACGGAGGGUGCAAGCGUUAAUCGGAAUUACUGGGCGUAAAGCGCACGCAGGCGGUCUGUCAAGUCGGAUGUGAAAUCCCCGGGCUCAACCUGGGAACUGCAUUCGAAACUGGCAGGCUAGAGUCUUGUAGAGGGGGGUAGAAUUCCAGGUGUAGCGGUGAAAUGCGUAGAGAUCUGGAGGAAUACCGGUGGCGAAGGCGGCCCCCUGGACAAAGACUGACGCUCAGGUGCGAAAGCGUGGGGAAGCAAACAGGAUUAGAUACCCUGGUAGUCCACGCCCGUAAACGAUGUCNACUUUGGAAGGUUGUGCCCUUGAAGCCGUGGG
rnacentral:rRNA from 1 species